rnacentral:tRNA from 1 species
GGAGAGUAGAGCUCAGUGGUAGAGACAUACAUAGCAUGCAUGAGGUCCUGGGUUCGAUUCCCAGUAACUCCA